AUUCCAGCUCCAAUAGCGUAUACUAAAGUUGUCGCAGUUAAAAAGCUCGUAGUUGGAUUUCUGGAUGUGAAAGGUGGUCGGCACCUCACGGUGUCUGUACUUAUCAUUCGCGUCCAUCCUCGGGAGGAACAUGUGGACACUUAAGUGGGUCUGCUUGGGAAUCUCGUCAUUUACUGUGAGCAAAAUAGAGUGUUCAAAGCAGGCUUAUGCCGUUGAAUAUAUUAGCAUGGAAUAAUAAGAUACGACUUUGGUCUAUUUUGUUGGUUUACAUUCCAAAGUAAUGAUUAAUAGGGAUAGUUGGGGGUAUUCGUAUUCAAUUGUCAGAGGUGAAAUUCUUGGAUUUAUGGAAGACGAACUACUGCGAAAGCAUUUACCAAGGAUGUUUUCAUCA
rnacentral:rRNA from 1 species